CUGCUGAGGAGUCCCAUACUAGGACGAAACGGCCGUCCAGUGC
rfam:Schistosoma margrebowiei strain Zambia genome assembly, scaffold: SMRZ_contig0003111